rnacentral:tRNA from 1 species
GGGACUGUAGCUCAGUUGAUAGAGUGUUUGCCUGCUAUGCAUAAGCUAUGCGUAAGUUCAAUUCCCAGGUCCA